rnacentral:misc_RNA from 1 species
CGACGCCGAUGAGAUUAACUUUCUGGCCAAGUGCAGCCCUGGCAUCUACUAUUUGAAGGAACUUGUAGUCAUCCCGGCUACUAUUGAGAUUCAUUUUCUGCAAGAAUUUCUGUAAUCUCUCUCCUUUAAGUUUGAUUUUGUGAAAAAAGCACGGUCACCGGAGUUAAGUCGGAGGAAUAGAGUGCUCGACGACGAAAUUUAGGGCGCCAAAAGGAAAGUGG